GAAAAAACUCCAAGGGUCGAAAUGUCUCUGCGAACAAAACCUACCCCCUGCGAAAUGUCCUUGAGAACAAAACUCCAGGGGUCAAGAUCUUGAAUUUUUUCUCAAAUCUUAUUGAUCCCGUGCUUGAUGAGGAGGAGGCAUUUUGGAUUGGCAGUCUAUAACAUAACAAACUGAUUGCUGAUCAAUCUAUAGUCACACCAAUCUAAUACUUUAAAUUCCUAGAGAAAUUAUAGCAGAUUUGCAGUUGGGUUGCUCCUCCACCGGUACAACGUUAAGCCAAUUCAUCUGUAAAUCGUGUUGUUGGAUAUUUGCGUUUGAAGGGAAGGGAUGAAAUCGUGGAGGCACGGCUGGCUAUUUCUAUAAAGGGGAUGCCAUUUCUAUGGUGU